rnacentral:lncRNA from 1 species
UUUAAAUCCAGAAUAUUUGAUGAUGAGCAAAGUGUUAAAAGUGAUUUGAACAGUUGAUUUGAGUAUACUUAUUUUUGUAUGAAAAAAAUGUUAUUUUCCAUCAAUACAUGACAAGCAAUGGCAGUUGUCCAUCAUUCUCGAUUAUUGGUAUUUAUUUUUCAUUGACAGUGCUGUUGUUUAUAUAUAAGAUCAUGAAAUCCAUUGUUAUAUACAUGUAAUCAGUAUGACUAUUAUGUGGUAGGUGCAUGCUCUUUGAAGAAUUCCAUUUUCGUAUGUCAUUAAUAGAAUUAUGUGUAGAUACAUGUACCUCUUUUACAUCAUAAUAGGUGAGGUUUGUAAAAGAAAAUAUAUAAAUAAUGAAUGCAGGGUUGUUUUAUAGUGCCUA